rnacentral:rRNA from 1 species
GAUGAACGCUGGCUACAGGCUUAACACAUGCAAGUCGAGGGGAAACGGCAUUGAGUGCUUGCACUGAAUGGACGUCGACCGGCGCACGGGUGAGUAACGCGUAUCCAACCUUCCCGUUACUGCGGGAUAACCUGCCGAAAGGCAGACUAAUACCGCAUGUUCUUCGAUGACGGCAUCAGAUUCGAAGCAAAGAUCCGUCGGUAACGGAGGGGGAUGCGUCUGAUUAGCUAGUUGGCGGGGCGACGGCCCACCAAGGCGACGAUCAGUAGGGGUUCUGAGAGGAAGGUCCCCCACAUUGGAACUGAGACACGGUCCAAACUCCUACGGGAGGCAGCAGUGAGGAAUAUUGGUCAAUGGGCGGAAGCCUGAACCAGCCAAGUAGCGUGCAGGAAGACGGCCCUAUGGGUUGUAAACUGCUUUUAUGCGGGGAUAAAGUGAGGGACGUGUCCUUCAUUGCAGGUACCGCAUGAAUAAGGACCGGCUAAUUCCGUGCCAGCAGCCGCGGUAAUACGGAAGGUCCGGGCGUUAUCCGGAUUUAUUGGGUUUAAAGGGAGCGUAGGCCGUGGAUUAAGCGUGUUGUGAAAUGCAGGUGCUCAACGUCUGCACUGCAGCGCGAACUGGUCCACUUGAGUGUGCGCAACGCAGGCGGAAUUCGUCGUGUAGCGGUGAAAUGCUUAGAUAUGACGAAGAACUCCGAUUGCGAAGGCAGCUUGCGGGAGCACAACUGACGCUGAGGCUCGAAAGUGCGGGUAUCGAACAGG